AUUGAACGCUGGCGGCAUGCUUUACACAUGCAAGUCGAACGGUAACAGGCCUUCGGGUGCUGACGAGUGGCGAACGGGUGCGUAAUGCAUCGGAACGUGCCCAGAGGUGGGGGAUAACGCAGCGAAAGCUGUGCUAAUACCGCAUGUGAUCUGAGGAUGAAAGCGGGGGACCAGGCAGCAAUGUUUGGCCUCGCGCCUUUGGAGCGGCCGAUGUCAGAUUAGGUAGUUGGUGGGGUAAAGGCCUACCAAGCCGACGAUCUGUAGCUGGUCUGAGAGGACGACCAGCCACACUGGGACUGAGACACGGCCCAGACUCCUACGGGAGGCAGCAGUGGGGAACUGUGGACAGUGGGCGCAAGCCUGGUACAGCAAUGCCGCGUGCGGGAAGAAGGCGUUCGGGUUGUAAAGCGGUUUUGUGCGGAACGAAAAGGCUCUGGCUAAUACCUGGGGCUGAUGACGGUACCGUAAGAAUAAGCACCGGCUAACUACGUG
rnacentral:rRNA from 1 species